CCAACACAUUCAAUAUAAGUCUGGAAUCAUCCUUCCUUUGAUCUCUAUCAUUCCAUUCCUUCAUCCUUUUUUUUAGAAUAUUCAGGUAAAAUUGUCUAGCUGAUUGUACUCUUGAAAUCUUAAUGAUUAGUCUGCUAUUGCAUUAUUGGAGGCAUUGCUUACAGGUCGAUAAGUUGCAUUGCAAGUGGAUCCAUCAUUAUGUUGGUCACGAUAUUCAGAGAUGCUUUGUUAGAUGGAUGGAUGUCCAUUGACAUUCGCCUGGCUUAGAGCAAGUUAAUCGGAAUGAAUUUGGAAGAACAGUUCCCAGUUUGAA